rnacentral:misc_RNA from 1 species
GCUAGACACCCGUAACUCACUCACCAAUUUAUUAACCAUUUUUUUUAGUAAGCAAGAUAAAUUUAUUAAUGGAAUGUAUACCGGCAAAACCUGGUCAAGAGUAUAGAAACAGUACAAGCAAGAAAGUACCAUAUGCAACCAUGCAAACUAAGAACCAACUAGGAUUUGAAAAUAGGAAACACAGAAUAUUAAAAUAACAUUAUCUCCAGGCAUACAAUAUUCCAAGGAUAAAACUUGCAUGCAUUUAGGGAUAAGCUUCAAUAAUUGAUACCGGCGCUGGAGUUUUGAUAGUCUUGCAGCUAGCAAAACCUCCUUUCUCCAACAAUUUUUUCCAUUCUGCUUCACUCCUUUCCUUUCCUUGGAAAUAAACCAUCAUUGACAGAUCACGUAUCAAUCGCGCCUUCUCAAACAUUUCAUGUCCUUGUUUGCUUAAGACUUCUCCCACUAUUAUAAGCUUUCCGGUUUUCUCUGGCAAAGCUUCCCGACAAUUUUUCAAGAUUUUGAUGCAAUUUUCGUCAUUCCAAUUAUGCAAUAUCCACUAAUGUAAAGAACAACAGUAUUAAUAGUAGUAGAAGAUGACUAUAAGCUCGAUAUCAUAUGAAAAUGAGUUUAAUAAUUAUUAGAUUAAAUGUUUGAAUCUUUGUAUAUGUAAGUCAUAUUUUAUUUUUUAAUUUAAUGGAAAAUAAUUACUGGUAGCAUGUUAAGGCCAUACUUUAUUUUUUAAUUUAAUGGAAAAUAAUUACUGGUAGCAUGUUAAGGCCAUACUUUAUUUUUUAAUUUAAUGGAAAAUAAUUACUGGUAGUAUGUUAAGGCUCCAUUACCUUCAAGAGAAUGGCAUCAGCUGGAGGAAUGCUUGUAAACAUAUUGCCGGCAACAUGUGUGACGCCCUCAUACUCUGGUGCCGUAGCCACCACAUGUGGAAGAUCGAAGUUGAUUCCUUUAACAUGGGGAUGUGCCUUCACAAUCUCACUCACCAUGGCACCAGUCCCGCCCCCAACAUCCACAAGCGAUCCUACUCCAUUGAACCCAUCUUUAUAGGUGGUCUUCACUGCCUCCACCAUUAUGUUUGAUGCCCCUUCCAUAGACUUGUUAAAUAAGGUGUUGAAUUCAGGAUUGGCUGAUGCAAAAUCAAAUAACUCUAAACCAUGACACCUAGCGAACCCACUGCCACCGUCCUUCACAAUAUCACUAAGGUGAUGCCAACUUGAUAGCAUGCAUGGAUGAUUCUGCAAUAGCAACCAGGGCACAAGACUCGUCUUCGAAUCACGGAGUAGAAAUUUGGAGGAGUUGGUGAGGCCAUAGAGAGUAGUAGUAGCGCUGUGCUCCCCUUCUGGGCUCGCAGGAUUAUUUGAAGUGAAGAUUCCUCUGUGAACCAACAGUUUCAGAACCCGUGAGAGGCGAUCAGCGUCCAGGGAAGCAUGGUUGAUGCUUUUAACAAUGGAAGACAAGGAGAGAGGACACCCAUGAGAGUUUAUUAUAUCAGGAAUGGCUAGCUCAACUACACACUUGAGUGCCAUGCGGCUCACGAAGCCAAAAAUGCAAUCCCAUAUUGCAGCUUGACCUCUGAGCAUUCCCUCUGGAUCUUCUGCUUCUUGCCUUUCCAUUUCUCUCUUCCUUAAUCUCGAACCUGAGAAGAUUGAGAUGGUAUGAGAAUGGUGAUCAGUAGCAGUUACUAAAUUGGGAGAAAAUUAGCUCUCAUUUCAUUGAAUUGAAGUAUGCAAAUGUUCAUUGAAGCAGGUCCCAUGUAUUAUUAUGGGAGAGAGAGAGUACAGCAACACUCAAUAAUCUCUUAUUUACUUACGAGAUCGAAACAGCAGCCAAGGCUUCCUAGGUAAGGUAG